rnacentral:rRNA from 1 species
GAUGAACGCUGGCGGCAGGCCUAACACAUGCAAGUCGAGCGGUAACACAGGGAGCUUGCUCCCGGGUGACGAGCGGCGGACGGGUGAGUAAUGUCUGGGAAACUGCCUGAUGGAGGGGGAUAACUACUGGAAACGGUAGCUAAUACCGCAUAACGUCGCAAGACCAAAGAGGGGGACCUUCGGGCCUCUUGCCAUCAGAUGUGCCCAGAUGGGAUGAGCUAGGAGGUGGGGUAAUGGCUCACCUAGGCGACGAUCCCUAGCUGGUCUGAGAGGAUGACCAGCCACACUGGAACUGAGACACGGUCCAGACUCCUACGGGAGGCAGCAGUGGGGAAUAUUGCACAAUAGGCGCAAGCCUGAUGCAGCCAUGCCGCGUGUAUGAAGAAGGCCUUCGGGUUGUAAAGUACUUUCAGCGGGGGGGAAGGCGAUAAGGUUAAUAACCUUGUCGAUUGACGUUACCCGCAGAAGAAGCACCGGCUAACUCCGUGCCAGCCGCCGCGGUAAGAC